GUAGGUGAACCUGCGGAAGGAUCAUUCAUGAAAUGCAAGGACGUUCUUUUUAGAGGUCCGACCCAAUUCAUUUCCUUCACACUGUGCACAAACUGUUUUUACACAUUUUAAACACUAUAAGAUAAGAAUGUAACUGUCUCUUGAUUGAGCAUAAACUAUUAAAACUUUCGGCAACGGAUCUCUUGGCUCCCGCAUCGAUGAAGAACGCAGCAUCUGACUGACUUCAGGUUG
rnacentral:misc_RNA from 1 species